rnacentral:piRNA from 1 species
UGCUUGCAUCUUAUAACCAUUGUCCUGAU